rnacentral:rRNA from 1 species
AUCAUUAAGCGGUGGAAAAGAAAACAAAAGUGAUAUCCCUAGUAACGGCGAGUGAACAGGAUGAAGCCCAACGCAAAGGCAUGUUGUACUUCGGUGUAACAGGCGAUGCUGCGUGUGGGCCAGCUGCUUGAGUUUUAGAUACUUGAUAGCGUGUGUUCAAACGAACUACUUAGUAAUUGGCCAUAGAGGGUUAAAGCCCCGUAUGGAUACUGUCAGUCUACAAGUAUUACAACAAUGGCGCUGGCUUGAGAGUAGGAUUGUUCGAAAGUGCAAUCCGAAGUAGGAGGUAUGCAUCUCUUAAGGCUAAAUAUCACUGCGAGACCGAUAGCAAACAAGUAGCGUAAGCGAAAGUUGAAAAGAACUUUGAAGAGAGAGUUCAAAGAGCGUGAAACCAUUAGUAGGGAAGCGGGUGUUACCUCGAAGUGGCGUUGCAAGUGUGUGGUGUUUGCGUGUCUUGAUGCAUUUGUGUUCGAGUUUAGCUUUUUCCUUUGGUGAAAGAAACCUUUGUGCACAUUAUGUAGUCGGCGCGAAUGCUGUAAAGCACACUUGUUGCCAGUAUCGUGCACUCUUUUAACACUUGAUAGUGCUUAUAAGUGCUUUUUCUUUCUCAUUCGGGGGAGGCUGAGUAAGCUUAUAAGUUUGAGCUAUUUUGUGAACUGUUCAAUAGUAUAGUUGGCCUCGCGUUGACUGUCUGUUAAAUAGAUUCAAGCUUCUAUCGUUAGUAGAAAAAGAGAUUUGUAUGAUAUGAGUAGAUCGGUAAGCACCUGCCCCGUCUUGAAACACGGACCAAGGAGCCUAGCGUGUACGCAAGUCUAUCAGACUUUACAAAGCUAGGUUGGCGUAACGAAAGCAAUUAGUGUGUAUACGUACAGUGUACACACUGCUACGAAGCUGUAAACAAUUUUGUUUAUAGUUGCAGUAGCAAUACGAUUUUUUUAAGUCGUAUUAGAGCGUACACGAUAGUACCCGAAAGAUGGUGAAUUAUGCUUGUGCAAGGUGAAGCCAAAGGAAACUUUGGUGGAAGCCUGUCGCAGUUUUGACGUGCAAAUCGAUUGUCAGACAUGAGUAUAGCGGCGAAAGACUAAUCGAACCAUCUAGUAGCUGGUUUCCUCUGAAAUUUCCCGCAGGAUAGCAAGCGCAUUUUAAAAUCAUUUAAACCUGUUACAGUCUCAAUAGAAGGUAACGGGGCGUUAAUUGACCUUGUCCUUUUCCUAAACUUGGUCAAUGGGUUAUUUGUUUACAUUUAGCUCGCUACAUGCUAAUGGCAUGUAGAAAACGAUAAUGAUCCGCGCUUAGUGGGCCAUUUUUGGUAAGCAGAACUGGCGAUGUGGGAUGAACCGUACACAGAGUUAAAGUGCCUAAGGUUUAUACGCUAAUCAGAUCCCAUUAAAGAUGUUGUUCGCUUAAGACAGUAGGGCGGUGGCCAUGGAAGUCGGCAUCCGCUAAGGAGUGUGUAACAACUCACCUACCGAAGCGUUCAACUCUGAAAAUGGAUGGCGCUUAAGCGUUAUACUGAAACUUUGUCGUAGGUAGUAAAUCCACAAGAAUACGCAUUGUAUUAACAACACAAUUGUGUAUAUUAAACUCCUACGAGUAGGAGGAAUGCGGCAAUGGCGUCGAAGCUUUGCGCGUAAGCGCAAGUGGAGCCGUUGCUGGUACAGAUCUUGGUGGUAGUAGCAAACAAACAAGUGACAACCUUGUUGACCGACGUGGAUACGGGUUCCAUGUGAACAGUAAUUGGUCAUGGGUUAGUCGAUCCUGAGGGGUGCGGUGAAAACCGUUUCGUAAGAAGUAUGCCUUGAGCAUGCACCUCGAAAGGGAAUGGGGUUAAUAUUCCUCAACCUCGUUAAUGGCAUCUUGAUGCAAAGCGGCAACGCAAUCGAACUCAGAGACGUCAGCCAAAGUCCUGGGUAGAGAUUUCUUUUCUACUUUAAGGUGUGCUGAGUGCCUUGAAACAGUUUAGCUGGAGACAGGCAUGUAUGCACCGAAAUGCUUCACACUUCAAGUGAUGUGUCAGUGUACUUUGGUUGACCCUUGAAAAUCUGGGUGAGUGUAGUAAACCUUAACGAGAUCGUACCUGGAUCCGCAACCGGUAUCCUAGGUAAACAGCCUCUGGUCUAUUAGAAAAAUGUAAGUAAGGGAAGUCGGCAAAACUGAUCUGUAUCUUUGGUACAAAGAUUGGCUCUGGCGUGUUUGUUAGUUGAGUUACGUUUAGUAAACUUGUGCAGAGCGCUUGUACUGACGGCUUGCAAAUACUGCAUGGCUAUCGGGACUUGUGCAAUACACCUGUUGAAAAGCGUAAGUACGGCUAGCAAAUAAAACAAAUAGUCAGAACUAUCAUUGACUUUUCGGAAUCUGACUGUUUAAUUAAAACAUAGCAUUGAGAUGACUGGUGACCCAGUGUUGACUCAAUGUGAAUUCUGCCCAGUGCUCUGAAUGUCAACGUGUAGAAAUUCAAUGAAGCGCGGGUAAACGGCGGGAGUAACUAUGACUCUCUUAA